UACGUAGGUGGCAAGCGUUGUCCGGAAUUAUUGGGCGUAAAGCGCGCGCAGGCGGUUCCUUAAGUCUGAUGUGAAAGCCCACGGCUCAACCGUGGAGGGUCAUUGGAAACUGGGGGACUUGAGUGCAGAAGAGGAGAGCGGAAUUCCACGUGUAGCGGUGAAAUGCGUAGAUAUGUGGAGGAACAUCAGUGGCGAAGGCGGCUUCCUGGCUUAAAACUGACACUGUGGCGCGAAAGCGUGGGUAGCAAACAGG
rnacentral:rRNA from 1 species